CCCUACGCCGCCACCUCCACGCUGCUGGCCACCGACUCCGCCUCGCAGGAGGAGGCGCACGGCAAGCUGCUGCUCUGGUCCGGCCUGCGCAAUGCCCCGCGCUGCUGGGACGUCAUCCAGCCCCUGCUCUGCGCCGUCUACAUGCCCAAGUGUGAGGAUGGGCAGGUGGAGCUGCCCAGCCAGACCCUGUGCCAGGCCACACGGGCACCCUGCACCAUCGUGGAGCGCGAGCGAGGCUGGCCCGACUUCCUCAAGUGCACCACGGACCGCUUCCCUGAGGGGUGCCCGAACGAGGUGCAGAACAUCAAGUUCAACAGCUCGGGGCAGUGCGAGGCUCCACUGGUGAGGACGGACAACCCCAAGAGCUGGUACGAGGACGUGGAGGGCUGCGGCAUCCAGUGCCAGAACCCGCUGUUCACCGAGAAGGAGCACCGCGAGAUGCACGUCUACAUCGCCGCCUUCAGCUCCGUCACCAUCUUCUGCACCUUCUUCACCCUGGCCACGUUUGUUGCUGACUGGAGGAACUCCAACCGCUACCCCGCCGUCAUCCUGUUCUACGUCAACGCCUGUUUCUUCGUGGGCAGCAUUGGUUGGCUGGCACAGUUCAUGGAUGGUGCCCGUGACGAGAUCGUGUGCCGGGCCGAUGGCACCAUGCGGCUGGGCGAGCCCACCUCCAACGAGACGCUGUCCUGCGUCAUCAUCUUCGUCAUCGUGUACUACUCGCUGAUGUCGGGUGUCAUCUGGUUUGUCAUGCUCACCUACGCCUGGCACACGUCCUUCAAGGCCCUGGGCACCACCUACCAGCCCCUGCUGGGCAAAACCUCCUACUUCCACCUCAUCACCUGGUCCAUCCCCUUCGUGCUCACCGUGGCCAUCCUGGCCGUGGCACAGGUGGAUGGUGACUCUGUCAGUGGCAUCUGCUUCGUGGGCUACAAGAACUACCGCUACCGAGCCGGCUUCGUGCUGGCCCCCAUCGGGCUCGUGCUCAUCGUGGGGGGCUAUUUCCUCAUCCGGGGGGUCAUGACACUCUUCUCCAUCAAGAGCAACCACCCCGGGCUGCUGAGCGAGAAGGCGGCCAGCAAGAUCAACGAGACCAUGCUGCGCCUGGGCAUCUUCGGCUUCUUGGCCUUUGGCUUCGUCUUCAUCACCUUUGGCUGCCACUUCUACGACUUCUUCAACCAGGCCGAGUGGGAGCGCAGCUUCCGGGAAUACGUGCUGUGUGAGGCCAACGUGACCAUUGCCACGCAGACCAACAAGCCCAUCCCGGAGUGUGAGAUCAAGAACCGGCCCAGCCUGCUGGUGGAGAAGAUCAAUCUCUUCGCCAUGUUCGGCACCGGCGUCUCCAUGAGCACCUGGGUCUGGACCAAGGCCACCCUGCUCAUCUGGAAGCGCACCUGGUGCAGGCUGACGGGGCAGAGCGAUGACCAGCCCAAGAGGAUCAAGAAGAGCAAGAUGAUCGCCAAGGCCUUCUCCAAGCGCAAGGAGCUGCUGCGGGACCCGGGCCGGGAGCUGUCCUUCAGCAUGCACACCGUGUCCCAUGACGGCCCUGUGGCCGGCCUGGCCUUCAACAUCAACGAGCCGUCGGCCGACGUGUCCUCGGCGUGGGCCCAGCACGUCACCAAGAUGGUGGCCAGGAGAGGAGCCAUCCUGCCCCAGGACAUCUCCGUGACGCCCGUGGCCACACCUGUGCCACCAGAGGAGAGGCCCAACCUGUGGCUGGUGGAGGCCGACGUGUCCCCGGAGCUGCAGCAGCGCAGCGGCCGAAAGAAGAAGAGGAGGAAGAAGAAGAAGAAGGAGGUGAACCCGGACCCCGAGCGCUGCCUGGGCAGCUCCAGCGUCCCCCGCCUGCCCCGCCUGCCCCCCCAGCCCUGCCUGGUGGCCUUUGCCCCCGAUGUCGUGCCCGAUGUCGCCAUCCCCAGGGGCCCGUGGGACGGGCAGAGCCGCAGAGCCAACGUCGUGCACGUCAUCAGCAGCCCCUUCUGCCCCGAGAGCGCGGCCACCGAGCAGCAGAGCCCCGCGGCCGGGGGCUGGCAGCACCACGGGGGUCCCCUGUGGCCCCCCAGAGCCAAGGCAGGGCUGGCCAGGACUCAGGGGGGCUGGGCAGGGCUGGCCCCCAUCCACUCCCGGACCAACCUGGUGGAUGCAGAGCUGCUGGAGCCUGACUCGGACUUCUGAGGGCAGCGAGGUGACAGCCCGAGCUGAGGGGGGACACCAGGACACGCCUGACCCCGCCGGGAUCCAUCCCGAAUAUUUCCACCGUCCUCGGAGGAUUCAUCUCCCAGCCUGGCCUGGAGGGUUUGGGAUUCCCUCCAGCACCUCUGGGAGAGAGGAGGAGUCAGAGGAACAACCCCCAGGGGGAUUUAAGGAUCACUUUUGGGGCACAGCUUAGAUCAGGGUGGGUUCUGGGCAGCUUUGGGGUGCUGCCAGCCCUGGCUCUGCCCCACCCACAGCUAGAGGUACGUAGAGCUCACCCCACUUUCAAUUUUUUUAAAUUCCUGAUUUUUAAAAAAAAAAAAAAAAAUAUUUGUAUCAUGAUGAGGAUGUGAAUCCUCUGCUCAGGGUGAGCCCAGUCGGGGGCACCCCAGUUUUGGUUUUGGGUUCACCUCAAUUUUGGGUUCACCCCAGUCCCUUCAGAGACCCCAAAGUGCCUCCCAGCCCCCCAGGGAGCUGAGCCAGACCCAGAUCAGGAGCAGUGGGGUGGCAGCACCAGGGAUAGGGGAUGGGAAACACCUUGGAAACAAAAAAAAACAAAAAAACCCCAAAAACCUCGGGGUGCUCGAGGUGAAUCAGGGUCAGCAACCCCCAGAGCAAAGCUUUUUAUUAUUUUUAUAGGAAAAAAAAAA